UGCCGCCUCUGAAGUUCCUCCAGCGGCACUGAGGAGGGGCCCUGUGGUCGAGGGUGCAGUUAAACGAGGCCCGACCGGGUAGUUGAGCUCAGCUUGGCUGUACUUGUCUUCCUUGGACCUGCUGGGCACCCCCAGGCCUCUCUUUCCAGAGCCACAGGGGCCACCUGACAUCUCACAGGCUCAUCUACCUUCCAAGACCAGCUCAUCACUUCUGGCACCCCUCUCUAUAGUUGCCUCCCAAAGUCUCCCAUCUUAUACCCACGGCCCCCUGGGCAUCAAGCUGGACAUCUGGGAACAACCUUCAGCACCAAGUCCCCCCACCACUCAUCUGGACUUGCAAAAGUCUCCUUACUGGUCAGGGCCAUGGUUAUAGACACAGGUUCGGAGUCAGCCCCAGCUUGAAUCCUGCUUCUGCCACCAGCCCUGUGACCUGAAGCAAGUGAGUCCCAAUCACCUCAUCUGUGCACUGAGAUGCAGAGUGGCUAUUUCUACUGCAUGUGG
rnacentral:lncRNA from 10 species